GACGAACGCUGGCGGCGUGCUUAACACAUGCAAGUCGAACGGAAAGGCCCUGCUUUUGUGGGGUGCUCGAGUGGCGAACGGGUGGGUAACACGUGAGUAAUAUGCCCUUGAUUUUGGGAUAACUUCAGGGAAAUGGGGCUUAUAACGGAUAGGUGCUACUGCAGAAUGGUGGGGGUUGGAAAGUUUCGGCGGUUGGGGAUGGACUCGUGGCUGAUCAGCUUGUUGGUGGGGUAGUGGCUUACCAAGGCACUGACGGGUAGCCGGGCUGAGAGGGUGACCGGCCACGUUAGGACUGGAAUACGGCCCAGACUACAACGCGAGGCGAGGGUGGAGAGUGGAGCACAACAGGCGGGGGCCAAAUGCGACGAAGCGACGUGCGGGGAGAGAGGCAGCAGGUUGGAAUGCACAUUCGCCUGAGACGAGGAGAAAAUGACGGUAAUGGGGUAAGAAGCACCGGCUAACUACGUG
rnacentral:rRNA from 1 species